AAUUUCUCGGCUACUUUUCAGUUAAAGCACAUGCAUCCUAUCAGAGAGUAAAUAAGUUACUUUUACAUCUCGGUACUUGUAAUAUAAACUGGGGAAAUUCUGAAAAAUGUGUGAAAAAAUAUUAAGCCUAGGAACAUCUCGGUGUUUAUUGAACUGCUGGGGAAAAUGUUACAGGAAGAAUGGUGAAGGGUGAGUUUCACCAACACAGGAAGGCAAAUACUGAGUUAAAUUAAACUAAAUGAAGAUGAAGUCAUAUUUGUAUUUUGCUUAAAAAUUUGCUCUAAAAUAUCUCAGUAAGGGAAAAAAAUAUAUCUCAUAUUUGUUGAGUUUUCCUCUGGGGGUAGGAAACAAUUUCAGACAGGAGUGUUCUGCUGGUUUUAGCUGUUGGACAAGAGGAAGAAAUUGAAGUCAAACACAUUGACAUUUGGCAGCCAAAGAGCAACGUGCUGUGUCGGGCUGUAAAGACCCACCUGCCAUGGUCUGAGCGGCAGAGGAUGGGCACCUUAUCCUCACCAUGUGCCACUGUCAGUCCUGGAUGCCCCUGCCCUGCUGCCUUGCUCCUGCCUGCUGGGCCAAUCUCUCUCUGUUGGGGUAGGAUCUUGAUCUAUGCAGCCGGAUGCCCCAAAAUGUAAGUGAGUGCCUUCCUCAGUAAGCAAGGCCCUAAUGUGGUUUUUUGAACAGCCCUAAGCGUGCUUAUGAAUUGUUCAUAGUAAAAGCUUCCACUGAGAAUAUAAAAGGCAAUUAAAUCUUAAUGGCCCGAUGUUUACAUUUUUUGAACUACAGGUUGGAAAGCCUGAGUGCAAAUCGUUCAGACACUGCUAACAUCCUUUCAUUCCUGCUAGAAGUGAAUUUGUGAUAAGCAAAGAGCAAAAAAUGUAAAAAUAUAAGGCCCUGAUGCAGUGCCUUGUUAUUUCUCUUUUCAUAUGCUAUUUUUUCCCCCUGUAUUUUUGAGGGAAUUCAGUUGUAUUUUAGAACAGUUCCCUUGGCAGAAGGCAGAGUCUCCCAGGGAGCAUGAAGCCUGGCCUCAUUCAAGGUAAGGGCUCAGGGUGAGGCUGCUGCGCUAAGAGCCAUUGGGAUGUGUGGACACCACCCCACAGGGCUCCUAAUGGCUGCACACACGUGACACAAGGCUCGGUUGUGAGGUGCAUCACAGCUGGUUUUUAGAAGCUGAUCCCACAGAGGCAGCAAAUUUGCAGGAGCUCUUUAGCUUGGCUGAGACUUGGGACCCAAGUCGUGUAUGCCUGCCAGCAGCCUUUCAUGCGCAUGUUGUGCCAAAUCAAACAGCAAGUGUCAUCUCUGGGUUAAAUUUCCCCACUGACACUAAGGAGGAUAACACCUCUGCAGUCUUGAGCUUUCCUUCUCCCCACCUGGCUGUUGCCACCUCAACAGGGCUGUGAGCCAUGGGCCAGGAUUCCCAUUUGGGAGACAAAAUCUUUCUUUUUAGCCUUGCAGACUUCAUGUCAUGUUGCCUGAGGCAUUUUUAUUCAUCUUAAAAUAGGGUAGCAAUCUACCACUUGCAGUCUCCUGCACCUUGUCUUGCUUCUUACCAUGAUCCUGGUGUCAAGGGUUUGGCCAUGUGUGGGAUGUGGCUUCCCAACCAGUGGAGCUGCCAGGUCAUGCCAGCCAAGGGGAAUGGUUCUCUGCAAGCACUUAUGGGGCACUGCUGGCCCUCAGAUGGCACCCAUUCAGUACUGAUGGAAUGCAGUGACCUGCAGGUGUGAGUCCCCCGGACCUCCAAGCCUGAGCUUCCAGUUGGUGGAAAACUCCAUGUGUGCUUUAAAAAAUUGCCUUAAUGUUGAGAACUGUGACAGUGAUAGGAGUAAGAGCCUCUCUUUGCAUAGAAAUGUUGUCUUGGCCAAUUCAAUUCUGUUUGCUCUUUCCUCUUGCUGUAUUUGAUUUAGCCUGCAAUCAAUAGCGAAAUGACAAAGACGUGGGUUUAGCCCACCCUCAGAAUUUCACUGUGCUGAUUGGAGCUGCCAGUGCUGCAGGGCCCUGCUAAAUCUGCUUCAUAGCACACGGCUCGGGAUGGGGCUGAGCAGAAGCAAGAACUGAUGUCAGUCCUUGCCUGAAGAUCUCUGCUGUCCAACACUCACUUCCUGUUGUCUGCUGAGCGAGGUUUCACCUGUGCAAGCUCUCACAACUUAUGACUGGAACUUCAAAAGAUUGGACACCCCAGCAGGCAACAGGAGCGCGCACAGCACAUUUUCAUUUUGCCAUAAGCAAUGCAGUUUGCAAGCCAUCACCAAUCACUACUGGAGGAUGACGAGUCUCCUCCAGAUCCAAUUCUUACUGGCAGCACCAAAUGUUUGCCCUCUUUGCUGGUGAGAAGAAAGUUCAUCUUAUCAAGUUCUGAGCCCAGUACAGAGUUCCAGACAGCACCUAAAGUGCCACCAGAGGACUUAAUGUUCCCAGGCAUCAGGGUUACGUUUAUACCUACCGAGUAUCCAAGACAGAAUCUGGGUCCUGGAGUGCUGAGACGGCACCCGGCGUUCACCGGCGGCUCUUCCGGAAAAUGCACAACCUCAUUUCAGCCUUCCAGAAACCUGACCAGGGCAUUGUUACGCCUCUGAAGCAUCCGGUCAUCAACCGUGCAAAAGCCAAGUAUUCCCCAGGUAGAAAUGACGGCCGUGACUACCUGCAGCCAUCAUGAAGACAUUUCCCAGUGGCAUAACUUCAGUAGUGCUUCCAGUCCUGCUCUAGAACAGUACAAGCUAUGAUAGUUAGUUAGUACAACUCCGUGAGUUUUCUUGUAACAUUUGCCAGAAUGUGUUUCGUAGUAUUUGUAGCUCCAAGUUUAGAAGAUUUAUGUUCCAGAAUGUUUUUAUUUUUUAUUUUUAUUUUAUUUUUACUUUUUGUAAGAGAUAAGACAAAAACAUCAGUUACUAAAUGGUGCCAUAUCUUUUCUUCUUUUGGCAGUCCUAAGUGCAAAACAUUUUCUAAUCUCAAGACUAGUCCGUCUACUUUAUGUAAACUGAUUUUUGACUCUUCUGUACAUUCUUCUGGUAGACAUUUAUGGGAAUGACCCCUUUUGUAGGCUUAGGAAAAUUGUUUAUAUCGAGUGUCCUUCAAACAGAACCACUCAGUGCUGUCUCCAUGUACAUUUCUAAUUUGCACAAAGAAUUGAAGGCUCAAGUAAUGUUCCGAGUAAAUGACAACAAUUACCAGUGGAGAACCUCAUACUUUUUAUUUUUCCAAUAUUCUUUCUACUUGAAAAAAUCCCCCAAAAAGGUAAUUAAAAAAAAUCAUAUUUUUACACAAUAUUUACUUUUUUUUUUUUUUUUUUUUUUUUUUCAUGUGUUUUAGUUGCUGCUGGGCUUCUGUAGGAGAGGCUUACACCUGGAGGACUUGUUGGCUUUCAGGGUUAGCCCUGGUGCUUGCAGCAAGAGCAGGGUUGGUCUCUUCUCAUUGGUGGCAGGUGACAGGAAGGGACCUCAAGGAUUAUGAAGUUCUGGGCUCCUCAGUUCAAGAAAGACAGGGAUUUCCUAGGAGUCCAGCAAAGGGCCACAAAGACAAUUAAGGGCCUGAAGCAUCUCUUACAUGAUGAAAAGCUGAGAGACCUGAGGCUAGUCAGCCUGGGCAAAAGAUAACUGAUGGGAGACCUUAUUAAUGUUUAUAAAUAUGUAAAAGGAGGUGGGAGACAAUGGAUGAAUCCAGGCUCUUCUUGAUGGUGUGUAGCAACAGGACAAGAAGUAAUGACCUAGAACUUGAACAUAGGAAGGAACAUGCGGAAGUACUUCUUUAUGGUAAGGGUGACAGAACAGAAGAACUGGUUGCCCAGAGUGGUGGUGAAAUUUCUUUCUAUGGAAGAGGUUGGGUUUCUUAAAUGUUUAAUGCUUAAAUUUUUCAUGCCUGUACUUCCAAUUUCUUCUGCACGGCUUAGGAGUUUGGAAAACUCUGAGAAGGAAUAGAGUAGGACAGAUUAAAUCCAACCAGAAGGGGCCAACCUGUGGACCAGGGGAAUGUGGAGAGGCAGGGCUGAAGCCGUACUUGUAGCAUCAGGCUACACUGGGGAGAACCAUCCAACAGUGUGCUACCAAACAGGCAGACAGACUUUCUUAAUCCCUUUAGUUGUCUUGUUUCAGGCUGUUGUCAUCACACUGAGAAGCAAACAGUGAAGAGAUAAAUGGGAGGCAUGGACUAGCACUCAGCAAGGUUCAGCCACUUGGAGCAGUAUUUUAGUUUGGAUUUGAUAAGGCUGGAAAUUUUAUCUUUUAUUUUAUUUUAUUCCUAUAAGUGGCUGUGUGUGUAUGAAAGAGAACAAGAGAAAGAGAGAGAGAGAAAAUGCAGCAAUAAAACAUUCAUCACAAAGCACAAAAUGCUCCUUGUAAACCCUCAGUGGGAGUAAAUACAAUAAAUAAACAGCUGCAUGAUAACAGGAAGCGGUGGAAAAUGCUGUUGCAAAUUUGCGACAAUUGCUGUUCAUUACUCAAUGUCUGUCUAAAUGAAGACCACAUUUCAUCUGUGGUGAAAUGUCCUGCCUCCCCUCCCCACCCCUUUCAUCAUAUUUUACUCUCCAUGUGUGUAUGUUUUGCUCUGUGUCUCUCUGUUACUUAUACCGAAUGGUUGAAGCAAUGUUCUUAUCUUCAAACAGUGCUAUACAGUGACAGAUUCAGCAUGAUUUACUCUUUAAUAAAAUAUUUAAAAGCUG